CCUACGGGAGGCAGCAGUGGGGAAUAUUGCACAAUGGGGGAAACCCUGAUGCAGCAACGCCGCGUGAGUGAAGAAGGUUUUCGGAUUGUAAAGCUCUGUUAGCAGGGAAGAGGAAGGACGGUACCUGCAGAGGAAGCCACGGCUAACUACGUUCCAGCAGCCGCGGUAAUACGUAGGUGGCAAGCGUUAUCGGGAUUUAUUGGGUUUAAAGGGUGCGUAGGCGGACUGUUAAGUCAGUGGUAAACGCCCGGGGCUCAACCCCGGCGAGCCGUUGAAACUGGCUGUCUUGAGAUGUCGAGAGGUAUGUGGAAUGCGCAGUGUAGCGGUGAAAUGCUUAGAUAUUGCGCAGAACUCCGAUUGCGAAGGCAGCAUACCGGCGGCGAUCUGACGCUGAGGCACGAAAGCGUGGGUAUCGAACAGGAUUAGAUACCCUUGUAGUC
rnacentral:rRNA from 1 species